UACGUAGGGUGCGAGCGUUAAUCGGAAUUACUGGGCGUAAAGUGUGCGCAGGCGGCAGAGCAAGUCGAGUGUGAAAGCCCCGGGCUUAACUUGGGAAUUGCGCUCGAAACUACUUUGCUGGAGUGUGGCAGAGGAAGGUGGAAUUCCACGUGUAGCGGUGAAAUGCGGUAGAGAAUGUGGAGGAACACCAAUGGCGAAGGCAGGACCAUUCUAGGGCCGCA
rnacentral:rRNA from 1 species